rnacentral:rRNA from 1 species
GGUUGCGGNGAUUCGAUUGAGUUUGAUCCUGGCUCAGGACGAACGCUGGCGGCGUGUCUAAUACAUGCAAGUCGAGCGAGCUUGCCUAGAUGAUUUUAGUGCUUGCACUAAAUGAAACUAGAUACAAGCGAGCGGCGGACGGGUGAGUAACACGUGGGUAACCUGCCCAAGAGACUGGGAUAACACCUGGAAACAGAUGCUAAUACCGGAUAACAACACUAGACGCAUGUCUAGAGUUUGAAAGAUGGUUCUGCUAUCACUCUUGGAUGGACCUGCGGUGCAUUAGCUAGUUGGUAAGGUAACGGCUUACCAAGGCAAUGAUGCAUAGCCGAGUUGAGAGACUGAUCGGCCACAUUGGGACUGAGACACGGCCCAAACUCCUACGGGAGGCAGCAGUAGGGAAUCUUCCACAAUGGACGAAAGUCUGAUGGAGCAACGCCGCGUGAGUGAAGAAGGGUUUCGGCUCGUANAGCUCUGUUGGUAGUGAAGAAAGAUGGAGGUAGUAACUGGCCUUUAUUUGACGGUAAUUACUUAGAAAGUCACGGCUAACUACGUGCCAGCAGCCGCGGUAAUACGUAGGUGGCAAGCGUUGUCCGGAUUUAUUGGGCGUAAAGCGAGUGCAGGCGGUUCAAUAAGUCUGAUGUGAAAGCCUUCGGCUCAACCGGAGAAUUGCAUCAGAAACUGUUGAACUUGAAUGCCGAAGAAGAGAGUGGAACUCCAUGUGUAGCGGUGGAAUGCGUANAUAUAUGGAAGAACACCAUUGGC